UACGUAGGCAGCAAGCGUUGUUCGGAGUUACUGGGCGUAAAGGGUGUGUAGGCGGUUUUUUAAGUUUGGUGUGAAAUCUCCCGGCUCAACUGGGAGGGUGCGCCGAAUACUGAAAGACUAGAGUGCGGGAGAGGAAAGUGGAAUUCCUGGUGUAGCGGUGGAAUGCGUAGAUAUCAGGAGGAACACCGGUGGUGUAGACGGCUUUCUGGACCGUAACUGACGCUGAGACACGAAAGCGUGGGUAGCAAACAGG
rnacentral:rRNA from 1 species